AGAAAUUGCAUCAUUCAUUUCAAACAGACGGAAAGAAACGAGACCAAGAGAUUGAGACAACGAAAUUGCAAGUACGUAACCUUACCAGUGAUCUGCAGACUGAAAGAAUCAAAUCGCAGAACGUUAGCGCAGAAUUGAAAGAAACCAUUGUUAACCUUCAAACGGACAAUCUGCUUCUCAAACAAAGCUUAGAGACUUCUUCAACCAUUCAAUUAGCAUGGCUUACAAAAUGAUUAAUGCUGCUGAGGC